GCUGACGAGUGGCGGACGGGUGAGAAAUGUAUAGGAACUUGCCUAGUAGUGGGGGACAACGUGUGGAAACGCACGCUAAUACCGCAUAAGCUCUACGGAGGAAAACGGGGGAUCUUCGGACCUCGUGCUACUAGAUGGGCCUAUAUUGGAUUAGCUAGUUGGUAAGGUAAAGGCUUACCAAGGCGACGAUCCAUAGCUGGUUUGAGAGAAUGAUCAGCCACACUGGGACUGAGACACGGCCCAGACUCCUACGGGAGGCAGCAGUGGGGAAUAUUGCACAAUGGAGGAAACUCUGAUGCAGCGAUGCCGCGUGAGUGAAGAAGGCCUUUGGGUUGUAAAGCUCUUUCGUCGGGGAAGAAAAUGACUGUACCCGAAUAAGAAGGUCCGGCUAACUUCGUGCCAGCAGCCGCGGUAAUACGAAGGGACCUAGCGUAGUUCGGAAUUACUGGGCUUAAAGAGUUCGUAGGUGGUUGAAAAAGUUGGUGGUGAAAUCCCAGAGCUUAACUCUGGAACUGCCAUCAAAACUUUUCAGCUAGAGUAUGAUAGAGGAAAGCAGAAUUUCUAGUGUAGAGGUGAAAUUCGUAGAUAUUAGAAAGAAUACCAAUUGCGAAGGCAGCUUUCUGGAUCAUUACUGACACUGAGGAACGAAAGCAUGGGUAGCGAAGAGGAUUAGAUACCCUCGUAGUCCAUGCCGUAAACGU
rnacentral:rRNA from 1 species